rnacentral:rRNA from 1 species
UGAACGCUGGCGGCGUGCUCAACACAUGCAAGUCGAACGAGAAAGCUCCUUCUGGGAGUGAGUACAGUGGCGAACGGGUGCGUAACACGUUGGUGACCUGCCUUGAGGAGGGGGACAACCGUGGGAAACCACGGCUAAUACCCCGGAUGUCUAAACUGUUAGAGGGUUUAGACUAAAACUUCGGUGCCUUGGGAGGGGCCUGCGGGCUAUCAGCUAGUUGGUGAGGUAAAGGCUCACCAAGGCGAAGACGGCUAGGGGGCGUGAGAGCGCGAACCCCCACAAUGGAACUGAGACACGGUCCAUACUCCUACGGGAGGCAGCAGUGAGGAAUAUUGCCCAAUGGGGGAAACCCUGACGCAGCAACGCCGCGUGACCGAUUGAAGCUUUUAGGAGUGUAAAGGUCUGUCGUGAAGGAAGAAAUGAUCCGAGAAUAAUAAGUUCGGAUCUUGACGGUACUUCACAAGCAAGCUCCGGCUAACUUCGUGCCAGCAGCCGCGGUAAUACGAGGGGAGCAAGCGUUGUCCGAAAUAACUGGGCGUAAAGGGUACGUAGGCCUUUUUACAAGUUUUCGGUGAAAGUCAUAGGCUCAACUUAUGAAAUGCCGGAAAAACUGUAGAAAUUGAAUUCGGAAGGGGAAAGCGGAAUUCCUGGUGUAGCGGUGAAAUGCGUAGAUAUCAGGAGGAACACCAGUGGCGAAGGCGGCUUUCUGGUCCGAAAUUGACGCUGAGGUACUAAAGCGUGGGUAGCAAACAGGAUUAGAUACCCUGGUAGUCCACGCCCUAAACGAUGGAUACUUGGUGUCGGGAUGUUCGAUCGUCUCGGUGCCGUAGCUAACGUGUUAAGUAUCCCGCCUGGGGACUACGGUCGCAAGACUGAAACUCAAAGGAAUUGACGGGGGCCCGCACCAGCGGUGGAACAUGUGGUUUAAUUCGAUGCAACGCGAAGAACCUUACCUGGGCUUGACAUAUGUAUGAAGCAUGUAAGAAAUUAUGUGUUCUAUUUACUUUUGUAGAUAGCAUAUAUACAGGUGAUGCAUGGCUGUCGUCAGCUCGUGUCGUGAGAUGUAGGGUUAAGUCCCUUAACGAGCGCAACCCUUACUUUUAGUUGCCAUCAGGUAAUGCUGGGGACUCUAGAAGGACUGCCGAGGUUAACUCGGAGGAAGGUGGGGAUGACGUCAAGUCAGUAUGUCCCUUAUGUCCAGGGCUACACACGUGUUGCAAUGGACGGUACAGAGUGCAGCUACGCCGUGAGGCUACGCAAAUCACUUAAAGCCGUUCCCAGUUCGGAUUGGAGUCUGCAAUUCGACUCCAUGAAGUUGGAAUCGCUAGUAAUCGCAGAACAGCAUGCUGCGGUGAUACGUUCCCGGGCGUUGUACACACCGCCCGUCACGCCAUGGAAGUUGGGAGUACCCAAAG